CGUAGGGCGGCAGUUCCAGAGCCGGAGGGACGGUUAGGCCCCGCCAGAGGGAGCCGGAGACCGCCGGCCCGCGGCUGAGCUUUUGACCUGGAAUUUGCCACAGUGCUGAUCUGCUGCCUUUCUGAAGGUGAAGGUUGGGUUUGUCAUCUCUGGAAUUAAUAACACCUGUGUGAGUGAGACUGUCCUGUGAGUUUCCUACUCCUGUUGCAGCUCUGGGAAGACCAGCUUCCACAUCCUCAAGCAGAUUUGUGUGCACACGGCAUGUGAAAAUACCUGUUUGGAACUAUGAUCGUUGGCAAAACCUGAGGCUGGAAAUCAAAACCAGAGAAUCAUAAGUGAGCAGAGGACUUGAAGACAACUACAGAAUUCACAAGUAAUUGCUGCUUAACUGACAAGUACUUUCAUUUAUAUAAACAUGGAGGGUAACAAAGGAGAAGCUCUGCAUGCAGCCAGAAUGAAGGUAACACCUCUGGCUAUCACGCACACCAGGCGGACUAGCCAAAGAAGCAUGACUUAAGUCUGAUGCAGGCUGCUCAGUUUAAACACUUCUAGCCAGCCAGCAUUUUAAACUUUAAUGCAGACAAGAACAGUUGUGUUCAUCAACAGAUGGUAACUUAAUAUUUAGCUUAUUCCUGAAGCUCAUCAUCUUCAGCUCAUGCUGCUGCAAACUGCAGUAUGCUGCAGCUGGUCUCCAGAAACAGGUCUGCUUAAAGCUUAGAGGAAUCUGAAGUAAAUGUAGUGUAGUUUGAAUGCUGCAGAAGAAAAAAAAAAAGUAAAAGGCAAGCUAUUGCUGGAGUUAAGAAUAAAUUCCAAAUUCAGCUUAUCUAGCAAAGGGCUCAGACAUUCUCUUCUGCUUCAUCCAAGAAAGUCUUGCACUUGCUCCUUGGAAAAUUAGAGAUGAGAUGAAGCAUUUCAGGAAUGCUUCAACAAUGAACCUUUUUGUUUUUAAUGCAGAAAUGCUGAUCAUGCAGACUUUCAGAUGAUAAAAUGCCAUAGCUUCUUUGUUUGAAAGGAUUGCUUCUUUACUUCAAACAGACCCUAAAUACUUUAAGAGGAAUACAAAGAUUUCAAGUGUUUUGAGAACCCAGAAGAGAUGUCCUGGUGCUGCAUUUCAGAUAGAGAGGAAUGCUUUGCUUUCACGGAAACCAAUGUGUUUCACAUUCUAGUCAGUGUGGUCGCUGUGCUACCUGAGCACAGCUGCGGCGGGGAAGGAAGGAGUCUUCUGUAACUCGAAAAAGAAUAAAAGGGAUGAAGCAACCAGGAAACAGUGAGCACCAUCUUCUGUUCUCUUGUGUAAAGGGAGAGGCAAUGGAUGAGAAUCGAUCUCUGUACUUUUUAUUCUCAUUACUUACCCAGUCACUGCGCUGAGCUGUGAGUUAUUAACUCGGCAUCCUAUUGCAUGUCACAAGCUCUGCACAACCAAAGCACAAAGCAGUAGUCUGCUUACAGUUAAACCACUGCCAUGAAUGCUUGCUAUUAUCUGAAGAACAAAAGCCUCUUGUUAGAGGGUACAGUCACUUUUAAAUUCAAUUUGUAAUUUCAGUGAUCUUUUCCUGUCUCUUCAGAUGCACAUACUGAAUUUGAAAUUGUUUACUGUUAGUCUUAUAAGGUUCUGCUCACUUUUCUUUCUAAGAAAAUAGGAGUGUAUUGCAAAACAGGAACGUCCUGUAGCAAAAUAUCCCUUAUCCGUGUUUCAUUGCUUCAUGUAUAAUGUCUGUUUCAGAAUUGACACAGUAGAAUUCUAAACAGCUGUAUUCACAAAGACUGAACAAAGCAGUUUUCUGUAGUAUCAAGUUAAGAAAAUUGGUACUGUUUGGCAAGUAAUCAUUUGCCUCUUUACACUGCAUGCUCUGAGCUGACUUGAAGGAGGUGGUGAUCAGUACGCACUAGUCAAUGUGCAGCCUCUGCCUCCUGCUGUCAUGCCUUCUUUCCUCCUGCAUCAACUUCACAUUGCAGGAUGAAGCACAGAGAGUUUAUUGGAAGCUGUGUAUGAACAAUAUAAUAAAACUAUGAUUUGGACUAUGGUGGUUUUUUUCCCUUUAAAGGUUUCAGAAAUAGCCUAACAUCCAGAACAAUGAAAUAAUGUCUGCAUUAAGCUGCAGCUAGUGACAAAACAGCCUGUGGCUGCAGUAAAAAGCACAAGGAGGUUACCACUUUUACAGCCCAACAUCCAGAUUUCAUUCUACUUAAAAUAAGGUAUGGGGGCUUCCAAAGGAACAAAGCUGGUGCCUUCUUUUCUGUGCGUACUGAGAACCCAAGAAGAAACACACUCAAGCUGAACUACUUGACCAGCUGCACACACUGACGCCUCAAUGAAAAGGAGAAAUGAAUAAAGAGAAGGAGACAGAAACCCGUACCCUUGUGACUGCUGGCUUCAAGAACUGUUAUUUAAGAGUGGCUCUUCGCAGCACCAUUACAGUUUGUUUUCUUUGAAAAGCUGCUACCCACUGCUGCACAAGUUCACCACGUAAAACAUGCACUGUGAAUAUUGUUCAAGUUCAGUCUUAUUCACUCUCUUUUCCAGUGUGGUCCUUCAUGAAGUACACACAGAGGCACUCUCAUGUAAAGUUACGAGCUGCUCACACUAGAACUGUACCUUCAUAGAGCAGUUUUGCCACAGCAGCUUUUGUGCUGAGCCGCUGCUUAAUGCUUAUGUUACUUUUGUUUCGUGAGGAGUAUUAUAGUCAGGUACUUGAGUGAUGAAAUAAACAUCUGGUGCCAGUAAACACAGUUCAUUUUAAAUAGCGUUGUCUAAAAACAUUUCUGUUUGUUUUCUACGUUUCAAAGUACCCGGGAGCAUGCAACAUUAUUUCCAGCACAAAUUGGCUACCAGCUCAUUGUGACAUUAAGGGAUCACUUCAUUUAGACCCUCUCUUUGCUGCUCUGCUGACAGCUGACUGCAGUAACUACCACAUGACAAGGAGAUUAUCAAUUCAUUUGUCUGGGCACUUCUGACUGUGUGCAUCAUGCAGGCAACACACACGGGUGCUGUCAUUGCGCUGGUACAGUUCUUAAGGCUCUGGUAUAAAAGCUCUAUUUCUAAUGACACCAUUAAUAUCAGUUUUCUUGGUGAGUUUUUGUUCUGAUACAGUCACUGUAAGUUAAAAAAUACGUUCUUACAGCGCAGAGAUUUUCAAACAGGUUGUAGCGGACUCACAGAAGGAACUGCAAUGACUGCAACAUGAACGGUGCAACACAAUGAGUUGAAUAUAAACAGGCUGUUGUAUUCAAGAGGCCAAUGGCUUGCGGAUGUGCCAAAAGAAGAAAGUCAUUCAAGAUUUGAAUCUAUUCAUCCCGUUCCACGGGGAGAUAUAAGUAGUCAGUAUUACUUCUGGACCGCUGUAGUUGCACCAGGGCUCUUUUAGGGUGCUGCCUGUGCACUACUGAAGAGAAGCUCAAGUUCUCUCAUUUAACAGCCACAUCACUUCUCAUUCAACACCCGAAACCGAUUCAAAACAGAGAUCAGGUGUAAUUCAGGACAGGCUCUGUUGUCACAACCAAAACUGUCACAAGGCAAUUCUUAUUUUUCUUCAGAGCCUCAGUUUGCACCCAGCUGUAGGUUUGACACAUGAAAACAGGGAAGAGCUGUAUUACCCAACUUACCUUUACUGUAACACAGCCAUGCUGUUCAAGAAUCACACACAGUUUGCUAACUGAAAGUACCACAAUCAUUUUUGAGGAAUUAACAGGUGUGCACGCUCCAGAAAUGAGGCACAAUUGCAAUUCCAAACAAUGUUCAAAGUUGUUUUAAAUAAACACCUUGCUGUUCUCUCUU